CAGAAGUGUGGGUGUGACCAGCACCUACUCAGCUGGCCAGUGUGGAGUCCGCCUGUCGCUGCUUCAGUCUUGAUCACACGUGACACUGUGAGAGACUGAGCAUGAUGCGUGUGGGUUAGAGCACAACAUACUUCCCUGGAAUGAUUGAUGUGGAAAUGAGUGUGCAGGGCUCCUGUGGCUUCCCAGACAGAGGAGUGCCUGUGCCCGCCCUGUGACAUUCGGCACUGCUCCCUUCUUCAUCGGCCUGCAUCUCCGCCUUUUCUGUUUCUGGAAAAAGUUUCUUAAUAUCUGAGCCGAGCA
rnacentral:lncRNA from 1 species